AAAACAUUGUCUCAUGUAUAAAAUAUAAGAUAAAACCUGCCCAGUGACAUAACCGUUCAACGGCCGCGGUAUCCUAACCGUGCAAAGGUAGCAUAAUCACUUGCCUAUUAAUUGUAGGCUAGAAUGAAGGGGUUAACGAAAUAAAAACUGUCUCAAUUAGUAACCUAAAAAUUAUUAUCUACAUGAAGAAAAGUAGAUAUCCUCGAAGGACAAGAAGACCCUAUAGAGCUUAAUUUAAAUUGUAGAACAAUCCUAUAAAAAAAUUCGGUUGGGGCGACCCAGGGCAUAACAAUCACCCAAAACAUAAAAGAUAUAUAAAUCAAAUAAUUGACCCUUUAAUAGAUCAAAAAAUCAAGCUACCUUAGGGAUAACAGGCUAAUCCUACUUAAGAGUCCUUAUCAACAGUGGGGUUUGGCACCUCGAUGUUGGCUUAGGGUAUCUAUAUAGCGCAAAAGUUAUAUGAAGAUGGUUUGUUCAACCAAUAAUUCCCUACGUGAUCU
rnacentral:rRNA from 1 species